rnacentral:sRNA from 1 species
UUUAAUUACGUGAGAUGGUAAAAAAAAAGAGGAGAAUGUCAAUGACGUGCACAACCAGAGUGAGGAUCAAGGAGCUCUAUCUAGCUGAGAAGAAUGUGUAUUUGAAUUCCAUUAUGAUCCAAGCUAGAACUUGUCAACGAAUUCACAAUUCACCCACGCAGUCUUCUUGUACAGUUAUGGAGAUAUAAAUGUGUUGACAUAGAUUAGCUACAUAUAGGGUACGUGUCCAAGAAGAAUGACUUCGAUUUGCUGCGAUCCUCUUGUUUGAAUGAACCAACACCCAAAAUGUUAAAACGGUGCAAUAUUGAGUAUCAAAUAUUGGAAUGACAUAAAAUAUAAUCCUUUGAUAGAUACCAAUGAUUUUAUUUCACUGACUAUAAUAAUAAAUUUGUAAUGCAAUGUGAAAAUAAAGUGAGUCAAUUAUCAAUAUGUCUACAAUAUUGUAUAACAUUAGUUAAAUAUAUUGAUGUAUAUUAAAAUGAUUUAAAAACAG